UACAGAGGGGGCAAGCGUUGUUCGGAAUUACUGGGCGUAAAGGGCGCGUAGGCGGCCUGUUAAGUCGAACGUGAAAUCCCCGGGCUCAACCCGGGAACUGCGUCCGAUACUGGCAGGCUUGAAUCCGGGAGAGGGAUGCGGAAUUCCAGGUGUAGCGGUGAAAUGCGUAGAUAUCGCUUGGAACGCCGAAGGUGAACACAGGCUGCUGGGGUUGUGCCGACGCUGAGACACGAAAGCCAGGGGAGCAAACGGG
rnacentral:rRNA from 1 species